rnacentral:pre_miRNA from 1 species
UUCAAGUAAUCCAGGAUAGGCUGGCGUCUCAGACCCCGCGGCCUGUCCUUGCUUACUUGGACC